rnacentral:rRNA from 1 species
UACGUAGGCAGCAAGCGUUGUUCGGAGUUACUGGGCGUAAAGAGUGCGUAGGCGGUCCUGUAAGUUUGGUGUGAAAUCUCCCGGCUCAACUGGGAGGGUGCGCCGAAGACUGCAGGGCUUGAGUAUGGGAGAGGUAAGCGGAAUUCCUGGUGUAGCGGUGAAAUGCGUAGAUAUCAGGAAGAACACCAAUGGCGAAGACAGCUCUCUGGGACGGUACUGACGCUGAGACGCGAAAGCGUGGGGAGCGAACAGG